AGAUGCAAAAUGGGAUGAGGGGCGUACCUGCUUCUGGAAACGACGAAGAUGGAUGCAGUGUGAUAGUGCCUGUUGUCUGCUUAACACCUUUCCUCCUACUUUCUUUUGUUUUCUCUCCUGGUUCUGGAAACGCCGAAGGCAAUAGCAACGGGACGAAGACAAUGGCAGAGCUGAUCUGUGACUCUCCUCUGCUUUUCCUUUUUUUUUUCUGAGUCUCUUCUCUCUGUUCCCGCGGUUCUGCCCUUUUCUCCCCCAGUUUUUCCUCCUGUAGUCCUCUGUUUUUUUCCUUUAGUUUCCUUCUUUCCCCCCAUGUUUGUUCGUCUCCUCUGUUUUGUUUGAGAAGAAACCAGGGGAACUAAAGUCUACUCUUUCUUUUUUUAGUCCUCUUCCCUCACCUUGUGACCUUUCGUUCUCUGGCUUUUAUAGCCAGAGAACAAUCCGUUUCUUCCAACCAUUGAUUGCAGGUGUAAUGGUGGCGGUGGGCGUCCGUUGAAGAAGAUGAACAGCGCAUCCAAAGACGGCGCCGUUUUGAUGUUUAAUGGCCAUUUGCGUUUUGAUCCUUGACAUUUUGAAUUUUUGCAGUCCAGUUCUUGGGUAAAUUGUAAUUGAACCCCUGCAUCUCAGCGCCAUUUACACAUUGGUCCUUAGGUUUUAAUUUCUUGCAAAUUUGACCAGCAUCAUCCCUAUACCUUGAUAGUUUUUCAAUUAAGUCCCUGAAUAAAUUAAUUUCAAGCUCAA